rnacentral:lncRNA from 1 species
UCUGAAAAUGCGGUUAGCCUGAACCCGUCGGCCCGUCACGAUCGACUGGUUCGGGAGGGCGGGAAUACGGGAAGACAAAAUCCUUCUUUUUACUACAUGCCUUCCCUUGGUACAAGCUGCCUACAGGGGACAUAAUAUACAGUACCAAGAUCUUAGUGAUGCGUGGGUUUGAAGAGCAGGCUAUAAAUUGUCCAAUGAGCUGGACUUGUUCGAAUAACGGAUCCUCCAAUUUCCUCUAUUCGUCACUCGGUCUCCCCGAGUCUCCACCAGAGAUCAUUUCAUUUUGCAACGGCCCCUCCAAUGAAGAUACCAAGCGUCAAGUGAGUGAUGCCUAUUUGCAUGGGGAAGGCGAAUGUAACAACGGUAUGUGAUAGUGAUUUCGUCACAUAAAUGGUCUAAUCAAAAGAACCGAAGUCAAUGUGAUGAGAAACAUGAGGCUUGAAGAAAAACCACAUUUUCUUUAAAAAUCAUUUGUGCGACGUCACAGCCUCGCCCCUCUCUCCAUUAUUCCUCGCCAAACUGCAGUAGUACACAAAUACAUCAAAUAAUAAGAUACGAAGUUCUUAGGGCUAAGCUGUAACUAACGUUCUUUAGACCUUAGUGUUAUGCAAAGCGGCCCGUCCAACUGCGCAUGCAUGAAAAAAAAAAAUUUAGCUAAAUUAUCGCUACCCAAGAAUAACAGAAAAAAAGACCAUUGAAACUACUACUACCUCGCUAGAAUAAGCGCCUUCCGUGGUGAUUCGGAUCAGGUACCACUUGACAUCAGUAAGCUACGUAGCAGGUACGUUUGAUGGAGCUUCUAGGCCUGUUGCACAGAAUGUCAUAGUCUCCCCGCAAUACUCCGAAACCUUGUUUGAUUUUUUUUCGUCUCUUUUUUCGGAUGAUGGCUGUGGAAUAUCAUGUCAGAUUCAAUUUCAGUAGGUCCAUGAUACAUCAGUCAUAAAAAAAGCCCAGAAAGGUAAGAAUUGAAGGUCGAUUGCAUAUCAUAUCCUGUCAUUCAGAAGAGAAAUAAAAGAAAAAAGAGAAAGAAAGAAACUCCUGAUCCAUAUUCCCAAAAUUGCAUUCCUUCGAUUUCCCAUUGCGCAUAGAGAACGAAAAUAAUCAUAUCGUAACUUCGUGCUGAAAAUCAUUGCCCCAGUUGUUGUUUUGUGCAUGUGUGUAUAAUGUGGAGAGCCGGAAGGAGAAAAACAAAAGAAAUUGUACAGAGGAAAAAAAACGGCCUCGGAAAAUAUGAGUAUGGAGAUCGGCCAUCGCCGAGCCAUGGACAAUACCAGGCGCUCGUUGUCGUCAAGGAAAUAAAACAGAAAUAGAGGGAGGAGAUGUUGGCGGAAAGGUCGUGCGUUCGACGCAUACUUUUUCGCAUCCCGAGUUGAGUAUUCAGCACAUGCUUGCAUCCAAGUUGUAUUCCAAAACAAAAGUAUCAGUACAAGUCAUCUUCAUAAGCGUAGCGUCAAGACAAUUCCGAACAGAUUCCCCCGCUCUGCAAGGGAAUCAUGCGUUGUGUUUAUCGUUCGCAUCAGAUCGCUCUUAAAAUUGACCCGAGUAAUUUGUCUGGGGGACGAAGGGUUGAGGAUCCAACUUCCUGAUUGCGACCUCGGCAGCAUCCUCUUUGGCGUUGUUGAGGUAUUGACCGUCGUACCAGUAUCGAGCGGCGAAACUCCCGCCUCCUACGUUGACGGUUGCUGACCAAGCGGUUCUACCUCCUGGAGAGAAAAGAAAGAGAAACAGAGUUAACGACGUAUCGAGCAUAGAAGAUAGAAAGGAAGAAAGAAAGGAAGGAAGAUCGUACCACGUCGAUCUGACACGAUAUGGAACUCGGGAGCUGCCAAUCCGUUUUUCGAGCAGUGGUCUAGAUGAAGAGUUAAUGUUAAUAAGGUGGAACCAUCGAAGAAAAAAGAUGAGUUCAAGUAAAUCAAUGCGAACCCCCUAGCAUCUUUUGCCAAUUAGGCAUUGCUCCCUGGCCGCCAGCAGUCGAAGUAGACAUAGUAAUGAGAUCGGAUUCUCUUGAUUCGAUAUAGGGAUGUAAAAAUGGAAAGUGACUUGGGAAAAGAGGAGAGCGAGGCGAUGUUCCCUUCCCAGCAAGUGUGAUCUGAUUGGUACCAAGAUUGACCCUUUGUUGUAAAUGACGGGAAGGUGGUCAACACACUUUCAAAUGGCAAGACACGACUAGAUACAAAUACAAUAAAAAGUCGUGUUGUCGGAGCGGGAUAGACAGCACAGCAAGACGGCAACUUAUAGGUAGUGGAUUCCCCUUGAGGAAGGCUUGGUUCUAGUCAAAGUAGGAGGAAGAGGAGAGAGAAUAAAAAUAUAUAUCCUACACAAAUGAGUGACAGGAGGGGAAGGUCAUAUUAAAUGCCAUUGGCAUGUCACCAGAAGAGAAUUGGAGGAGGAGGAUGGAUGUAUGUAUUGAAUGGUUUGCAGAUGGAUAACAUCGGACAUUUGCCCCUCUUCAUGUACAAGUUCGGCGGAGAGAGAGGGACCAAUAUGCAUGAAUAAGAGCAGGAUCUGUAUGUGUGGAUGAAGCCAAGUAGCCUCCCAUUUAAAAAAAAAAAAGGGCAACAAUAGAGAAAUUAGGCGUGUGAGUGUGUGAGGAAAGAAAUAAAAUAUUGAAAAACAUGUGUGAAGUGACAAGCCAGAAAAUGAAAUGCCCCUCCAGAUGUUGUUGUCAUCCACUCGGUUAGUGGCUAGGGUUGCUUUGCUUUUGCAGCACAUCAAAAUAAUCAAUAAAAAUCAAUAAAAUAAAUAAAUCAAAAACGAGGAACAUGCGGAUCAUAGGAAAAGAGGCUGCAGGCAGGGGACGGCCCGUCGCACAUUAGGUACCUAGGCAAAUUGCCUGACCAUUUAUAGACAGACGUUUAAUACAUCCUUAGGCCUUGAAGCGGCCGACUCUUACGAUUAUGCACAAGCCUGGGGCCGUGAUCGAUCGGUAGGGAUGUUAAGCUGUAGGGGUAAGAAGGGUCUUCAUUAGGGAGGGAAACAAUUAAGGCAAGUAAAGAAAAUGAAAAAGCAAAUACAUAUGAUGAUGAUGAUGAUGAUGUCUACUCUACAGAGGAGAGGAACCCAUGGAUGAGGGGCAUGAAUUGGUUGGCCGAGAAGAAGGGAGACAAGAGGAGUGGAGGAGAAAGAAUAGAGGGUCCAAUUAGCCUACAGACAUGUUUGGUUUAUUUCCAGCGAUAGCUGUCAAGCCAGUGAACGUGGUUCUAGCAAACUGGUUAUCGGAUUUGACAUGCAGAUAGAAGUGGAUAGGGAAUCUUGAAGAGAAGGGGAAAGGUUGGAAAAAAUGGGGCAAGAAACAGACGAACAUCACGCGAAAGCCUAAAGGCGGAGUAUUUCCCGGGACCUGCUGACGAAUCAUUUUAUAAAUAACGCGAAGGAAUUUAUCAUUUGAUGGGCACAUAAAAAUCAACUUGAACUUGAUAGGAAGGAACUUGACCUGGACCCGUCCUGACUUGACGCCUUGUUGCACACUCCCCUGUCCAGCCAGUUGGGCUCCGCGGUAUGUAUACCUAGGUAAGUCGAUUUCCGAAUGACAAAAGAGGAAUAGCAGAUCAAGAGUUAGGGCAAGGUGAUAGGAGGAUUGAGAGUGUCGUGGAGAACUGAAUUAGUGUACCAUGGUACCCUACGCCUGCCAGCACAUCACCUCGAUCCAUGGAACCGAUACAUUGAAAGGAUUGUUUACUGGACGACAGCUAACUAUCUAGCUACAUGACAGGUAAGUAAUAACCUACAUAGGCAACUUGGCCGGACAAUACGAUAGGGCACAGAAUGAAACAAUGAAUGAAUAGAGCCAUGGUUAUUGAUGAUGAAUUGUUGUGGCCAACGUGUAGGUCAUCCACGCUGGCCCAGACAAUCGCCGGAGAACCAAAGCGGCCAUUACCCAAUUUGCAAUUUUCAAUGGAAGAAAAUCAACAACGGCACAUACUAGACAUGUAUUCAUUCAUCCCAUGUGUGUACACAGUACAAACAUAUACCUACCUCCUUCACUAACCACACACAAAAAUACUUCCAUGGGUAUGUACCAUACCUGACAAUAGACAUGGGGCAUUUAUGCAGAAAAGAAAAUCCAACGUCGGGCAAGGGGGGAAAGGGGGGGGGGGGGGCCAACAGCCCUUUUCUCUUUUAAAAGAAGAUUAAAAAAUCGCUGAUUGGCUGCUUUACUUUUAUUUAUUCUAUUUUUUCAAUCCUGUCAGAGUCUGCCCUUGCGCACACUUUGUUGGCGGCUAUUCGAUGUAGCACCACUAUCCGCACUAUGUUGGCACCAUUUUGGGCAUUCAUACCUGCAGAUAUUCGGUCUAUUGAUAGGAAUGACAUUUUCUUGUGGGGGAUUUUUUUUCUUUCUUUCGUCGACUAGCUUCUCAAUAAACAUAUAUGUAUAUGUAAGGCGGAAAUAGUGAGAUUUACCGCAUCAUUAUGUAGCAUUCUUCUCUGCGUUGGUUUUCUCUAUGUUUGAACCAAGAGUGAAAGCAAGCAAGAAGGGCCAAAAAAUUGCCUAAAUCGGAACCUGCCUUUUUCGGGGGGGGUUUGCCUCUUUUCGCCUAAGCCCUAACUUUAUUUGGUCAGUACCAGAACAGAAGGGAAUUGGGGGUCUG